rnacentral:rRNA from 1 species
CCUACGGGAGGCAGCAGUGAGGAAUAUUGGUCAAUGGGCGCGAGCCUGAACCAGCGAAGUAGCGUGAAGGAUGACGGCCCUACGGGUUGUAAACUUCUUUUAUAAAGGAAUAAAGUGAGGAACGUGUGCCAUUUUGUAUGUAUUUUAUGAAUAAAGAUCGGCUAACUCCGUGCCAGCAGCCGCGGUAAUACGGAGGAUCCGAGCGUUAUCCGGAUUUAUUGGGUUUAAAGGGAGCGUAGAUGGGUUGUUAAGUCAGUUGUGAAAGUUUGCGGCUCAACCGUAAAAUUGCAAUUGAUACUGGCAGCCUUGAGUACGGUUGAGGUAGGCGGAAUUCGUGGUGUAGCGGUGAAAUGCUUAGAUAUCACGAAGAACUCCGAUUGCGAAGGCAGCCUACUAAGCUGCCACUGACGCUGAUGCUCGAAAGUGUGGGUAUCAAACAGGAUUAGAUGCCCGAGUAGUC